rnacentral:lncRNA from 1 species
UGAAAUGCAAAUAUGUUCUCUCUAUUGUUGCCCUAUUUCCUUGCCUAUAAAGGUACACGUUCUUGCAUUUCGAGUGAGACUUUUCAAGAGAUAAAAAAUCCAGAAAUACAAACGGUUGAGCUAUUUACUGUUUCAUUGAAUUUCUUCAGUAAUUUUUUAUUUGUUCAAUUUCUGAAACAAUUUGGACUCAUCUGAGUGUGGAAUGGGUUGAAUUUGGUCUUCUAAAGUUGGUUUUUGAAGUUAUCCUUAGUACUGUUUGAUUAGGAGCUACUUUGGACUGCUUCAAAUUAUUUUUCUAGUUGAACGGGCCGUCGGUACUGAUUCAUGCCAUAUUGGCGCUGUUGUUUAUUGCUUCUCACCUCUUUUUCUUUUUUGCAAAUUCCAGGUACAUGCUCUAAAACCUGUAUAGUGUGAAUUGCUUGACUUGAAAGGUCAAAUGGAAAUGAAGUUGUUGAGCUUGGCCUUAGUUUGUUAUUCCUUAUUUAUUUCAUCUCCUUCUGUUUUCUACCUCCAAAUAUCUAGUCUCUGAAUCUGAAGAAAAGGUUAUUGUAUUUAAUAGGGGUUUGGUAUUUUACUUGUUUUUAGAACCAUGCAAUGUAAGGAUUGAAGUUGGAUUUUUAACUUUAUGCUAGAUUUGGGUGUUGUAGCAGUCAUGUAACGUAUUAUGUCCACUUUCAGCUUUUCUUUCUUGUCGUUUACUCGUUAAAGGAAUGAGUCAUGUACUUGAAAGUUCGAGCGUGGUGUUGAAUCUCUAAUCAUGUAUGCUGG